rnacentral:rRNA from 1 species
AGAAUCAACGCUGGCGGCGUGCCUAACACAUGCAAGUCGAACGAGAAAGUGGUAGCAAUACCAUGAGUACAGUGGCGCACGGGUGAGUAACACGUGACUAACCUACCCUGGAGUGGGGGAUAACUGAGGGAAACCUUAGCUAAUACCGCAUAAUACCUACGGGUCAAAGGAGCAAUUCGCUUCAGGAGGGGGUCGCGGCCGAUUAGUUAGUUGGCGGGGUAAUGGCCCACCAAGACAGUGAUCGGUAUCCGGCCUGAGAGGGCGCACGGACACACUGGAACUGAAACACGGUCCAGACUCCUACGGGAGGCAGCAGUGGGGAAUUUUGCGCAAUGGGGGAAACCCUGACGCAGCAACGCCGCGUGGAGGAUGAAGUCCUUCGGGACGUAAACUCCUUUCGAUCGGGACGAUAAUGACGGUACCGGAAGAAGAAGCCCCGGCUAACUACGCGCCAGCAGCCGC